UUCAUUAUUGUUUUUGUUCGAUUCAUGCUGGAUAAGUUGAUUUAGUGAAAAUGGAUGAUGUAUUCUUGAUGUGUGAUGUUUGCUGGUCAUGAUGGUAUACUCAAUUCCAAUUUCUGGGCGAAAAUGUUUUUUUACGAUUUCUUGAGGAUGAAGAUGAUGAUACUGUUGCUACAAACCCUAGUUCUUCAUUGCCAUGCCCAGAUUUUUCCUGUUCACGUGUGCAUGUUAC
rnacentral:lncRNA from 1 species